rnacentral:rRNA from 1 species
UGGGGAAUAUUGCGCAAUGGGGGGAACCCUGACGCAGCCAUGCCGCGUGAAUGAAGAAGGCCUUAGGGUUGUAAAGUUCUUUCGGUAUUGAGGAAGGUUGAUGUGUUAAUAGCACAUCAAAUUGACGUUAAAUACAGAAGAAGCACCGGCUAACUCCGUGCCAGCAGCCGCGGUAAUACGGAGGGUGCGAGCGUUAAUCGGAAUAACUGGGCGUAAAGGGCACGCAGGCGGUUAUUUAAGUGAGGUGUGAAAGCCCCGGGCUUAACCUGGGAAUUGCAUUUCAGACUGGGUAACUAGAGUACUUUAGGGAGGGGUAGAAUUCCACGUGUAGCGGUGAAAUGCGUAGAGAUGUGGAGGAAUACCGAAGGCGAAGGCAGCCCCUUGGGAAUGUACUGACGCUCAUGUGCGGAAGCGUGGGGAGCAAACAGGAUUAGAUACCCUGGUAGUCCACGCUGUAAACGCUGUCGAUUUGGGGGUUGGGGUUUAACUCUGGCGCCCGUAGCUAACGUGAUAAAUCGACCGCCUGGGGAGUACGGCCGCAAGGUUA